rnacentral:tRNA from 1 species
UGGGACGUGGCUCAGCGGUAGAGUGCUUGCCUUGCAUGCAUGAGGCUCUGGGUUCGAUUCCCAGCACCACAU